AACAGAUAAGGAGCUUGCUCCUUUGACGUUAGCGGCGGACGGGUGAGUAACACGUGGGUAACCUACCUAUAAGACUGGGAUAACUUCGGGAAACCGGAGCUAAUACCGGAUAACAUUUGGAACCGCAUGGUUCUAAAGUGAAAGAUGGUUUUGCUAUCACUUAUAGAUGGACCCGCGCCGUAUUAGCUAGUUGGUAAGGUAACGGCUUACCAAGGCGACGAUACGUAGCCGACCUGAGAGGGUGAUCGGCCACACUGGAACUGAGACACGGUCCAGACUCCUACGGGAGGCAGCAGUAGGGAAUCUUCCGCAAUGGGCGAAAGCCUGACGGAGCAACGCCGCGUGAGUGAUGAAGGGUUUCGGCUCGUAAAACUCUGUUAUUAGGGAAGAACAAACGUGUAAGUAACUGUGCACGUCUUGACGGUACCUAAUCAGAAAGCCACGGCUAACUACGUGCCAGCAGCCGCGGUAAUACGUAGGUGGCAAGCGUUAUCCGGAAUUAUUGGGCGUAAAGCGCGCGUAGGCGGUUUCUUAAGUCUGAUGUGAAAGCCCACGGCUCAACCGUGGAGGGUCAUUGGAAACUGGGAAACUUGAGUGCAGAAGAGGAAAGUGGAAUUCCAUGUGUAGCGGUGAAAUGCGCAGAGAUAUGGAGGAACACCAGUGGCGAAGGCGACUUUCUGGUCUGUAACUGACGCUGAUGUGCGAAAGCGUGGGGAUCAAACAGGAUUAGAUACCCUGGUAGUCCACGCCGUAAACGAUGAGUGCUAAGUGUUAGGGGGUUUCCGCCCCUUAG
rnacentral:rRNA from 1 species